rnacentral:rRNA from 1 species
GAAAAGAACUUUGAAAAGAGAGUUAAAUAGUACGUGAAAUUGUUGAAAGGGAAACGAUUGAAGCCAGUCGUACUGACGGGAAAUCAACUUCUCGAGUGCUUGUCGUGGGUUACGUCGAGCUUCACGGCCUUCGUUGCUUGCGUUAUGGUGCUUUUGAGGUGUACUUUUCCGUAUGGUUGGUCAACAUCGAUUUUGGUCGUCAUAAAAUGAUCGGGGGAAUGUGGCUCUGGUCUCGUAUCGGAGUGUUAUAGCCUUUGGUAGAUGUGACGAUUGGGAUCGAGGAUUGCAACGAAUACCCUUUUGGGCUAUCCGUCUGACCUCUGAAAGUCGCUCGGGUGUUGAAAGCUUGCUUAUGGCAUCUUAGUUGGCGGUCAAAAGGUUAGAACGCGAUUACAUUCGU